CAUGCAGUCGAACGGUAGCACAGAGAGCUAUGCUCUUGGGUGACGAGUGGCGGACGGGCCAUUUAUGUCUGGGAAACUGCCCGAUGGAGGGGGAUAACUACUGCAUUCGGUAGCUAAUACCGCAUAACGUCGCAAGACCAAAGUGGGGGACCUUCGGGCCUCACACCAUCGGAUGUGCCCAGAUGGGAUUAGCUAGUUGGUGAGGUAAUGGCUCACCAAGGCGACGAUCCCUAGCUGGUCUGAGAGGAUGACCAGCCACACUGCAGAACUGAGACACGGUCCAGACUCCUACGGGAGGCAGCAGUGGGGAAUAUUGCACAAUGGGCGCAAGCCUGAUGCAGCCAUGCCGCGUGUAUGAAGAAGGCCUUCGGGUUGUAAAGUACUUUCAGCGAGGAGGAAGGCAUUAAGGUUAAUAACCUUAGUGAUA
rnacentral:rRNA from 1 species